rnacentral:ncRNA from 1 species
ACAAUGGAGAGUUUGAUCCUGGCUCAGGACGAACGCUGGCGGUGUGCUUAAUACAUGCAAGUCGAACGAUAAGGUCCUUCGGGAUACAUAAGUGGCGGACGGGUGAGUAACACGUAGGGAAUCUGCCUCAAGGAGGGGGAUAACACCGGGAAACUGGUGCUAAUACCCCAUAUGUGAUAAGUUGCAAUACUUAUCAUGAAAACUCCGGUGCCUUGAGAUGAGCCUGCGUCUGAUUAGCUUGUUGGUGGGGUAAUGGCCUACCAAGGCGACGAUCAGUAGCUGGUCUGAGAGGAUGAUCAGCCACAAUGGAACUGAGACACGGUCCAUACUCCUACGGGAGGCAGCAGUAGGGAAUUUUGCGCAAUGGGCGAAAGCCUGACGCAGCAACACCGCGUGUGGGAUGACGCUUUUCGGAGUGUAAACCACUGUCAGAGGGGACGAAACCUGACGGUACCCUCAAAGGAAGCAUCGGCUAACUACGUGCCAGCAGCCGCGGUAAGACGUAGGAUGCAAGCGUUGUCCGGAAUUAUUGGGCGUAAAGCGUUCGUAGGUGGCCUGUCAAGUCUGAUGUUAAAUCCCAGAGCUCAACUCUGGUUCAGCAUUGGAUACUGACAAGCUAGAGUGCAGGAGAGGCAAGGGGAAUUCCUAGUGUAGCGGUGAAAUGCGUAGAUAUUAGGAGGAACACCAGUUGCGAAAGCGCCUUGCUGGACUGUAACUGACGCUGAGGGACGAAAGCCAGGGGAGCAAAUGGGAUUAGAUACCCCAGUAGUCCUGGCUGUAAACGAUGGAUACUAGGUGUUACGGGUAUCGACCCCUGUAGUGCCGAAGCUAACGCGAUAAGUAUCCCGCCUGGGGAGUACGCACGCAAGUGUGAAACUCAAAGGAAUUGACGGGGACCCGCACAAGCGGUGGAACAUGUGGUUUAAUUCGAAGCAACGCGAAGAACCUUACCAGGACUUGACAUCUGAAGAACCUUGCGGAAACGUGAGGGUGCCCUUCGGGGAACUUCAAGACAGGUGGUGCACGGUUGUCGUCAGCUCGUGUCGUGAGAUGUUGGGUUAAGUCCCGCAACGAGCGCAACCCUCGUUGCUAGUUGCCAAUAACGGCAUGCUGUUAUUGUGCUCUCUAGCGAGACUGCCGGUGAUAAACCGGAGGAAGGUGGGGAUGACGUCAAAUCAU